CUGUACUUGGACCCAUUCUCUUUAAUAUGUUUAUUAGUGAUAUUGCAGAAGGUCUUGAUUGUAAGGUAUGCAUUUUUGCUGAUGAUACUAAGAUAUCGAACAGGGUUGACAUUCCAGAAGGGAUAAGAGUUGUGGCAACUGACAUUUAAUGUGGAUAUGUGCAAGAUAAUGCAUUUUGGAUGUAAAAACCCAAGGGCAGAGUACAGAACAUUUGACAGAGUCCUAACCUCAACAUCUGAGGAAACUGAUUUAGGGGUGAUUAUUUCUGAUGACUUAAAGGUAGGCAGACAAUGUAAUAGAGCAACAAGAAAUGCUAUCAGAAU